GACGAACGCUGGCGGCGCGCUUAACACAUGCAAGUCGAGCGAGAACCGGCCUUCGGGCCGGGGAAAGCGGCGAACGGGUGAGUAACACGUGGGUAAUCUGCCCUCGGCACCGGGAUAGCCCGGGGAAACCCGGAUUAAUACCGGAUGGCCCUUUGAGUCCUCGGAUUCAAAGGAAAAGGUAGCUUCGGCCUCCGGCCGAGGAUGAGCCCGCGGCGGAUUAGCUUGUUGGGGGGGUAACGGCCUACCAAGGCGACGAUCCGUAGCUGGUCUGAGAGGACGAUCAGCCACACUGGGACUGAGACACGGCCCAGACUCCUACGGGAGGCAGCAGUGGGUAAUCUUGCGCAAGGGGCGAAAGCCUGACGCAGCGACGCCGCGUGAGGGAAGAAGGCCUUCGGGUUGUAAACCUCUUUCAGGAGGGACGAAGCCACUCGGGUUAAUAGCCCAGAGGGUGACGGUACCUCCAGAAGAAGCCCCGGCUAACUACGUGCCAGCCGCCGCCGUAACAC
rnacentral:rRNA from 1 species